rnacentral:rRNA from 1 species
CACGUAGGCGGCCAUUCAAGUCAGAGGUGAAAGCCCGGGGCUCAACCCCGGAACUGCCUUUGAAACUAGAUGGCUUGAAUCUUGGAGAGGCGAGUGGAAUUCCGAGUGUAGAGGUGAAAUUCGUAGAUAUUCGGAAGAACACCAGUGGCGAAGGCGGCUCGCUGGACAAGUAUUGACGCUGAGGUGCGAAAGCGUGGGGAGCAAACA